rfam:Nicotiana attenuata strain TT chromosome 3, whole genome shotgun sequence.
UAGACAGAUUAUUGUAUUCGACUGUAUUCACGACGCAAUUCAUCGUCUAUUCAACUGUUUUUAAACUAAAAGUGAAUCAAUUAACAUAAUAGACUCCU